GCGCCCAUAGCUCAGCUUGGUAGAGCAGUUGCCUUUUAAGCAAAUGGUCCCAGGUUCAAAUCCUGGUGGGCGCACCA
rnacentral:tRNA from 2 species